UGAGUUGGCUGGGCGAUCGCGGCCGCCCCAUAGGGGUGGGUGAGGAACGUCCGGACUCCAUCGGACACGGUGGUGGCUAACGGCCACCCGGGGUGACCCGCGGGCUAGUGCCACAGAGAAUAGACCGCCACUGCGCUUAGCGUGGUGGUAAGGGUGAAACGGUGGUGUAAGAGACCACCAGCAACCUGGGUGACUAGGUUGGCUAGGUAAACCCCACCGGGAGCAAGACCAAGCAGUGUGCGCUGGCGGUUUGCCAGCAGCGGUGGUCCAUCGCCAUGCAUACGGGUAGGUUGCUUGAGGCUUUAGGGCCCUAGAUAGAUGGUCGCACAGGGAUGUAGCGGUAACGCUCGCCUGGACAGAAUCCGGCUUAUAGGCCAACUCAUCCG
rnacentral:RNase_P_RNA from 1 species